rnacentral:rRNA from 1 species
UGGGGAAUAUUGCACAAUGGGGGAAACCCUGAUGCAGCGACGCCGCGUGAGUGAAGAAGUAUCUCGGUAUGUAAAGCUCUAUCAGCAGGGAAGAAAAUGACGGUACCUGACUAAGAAGCCCCGGCUAACUACGUGCCAGCAGCCGCGGUAAUACGUAGGGGGCAAGCGUUAUCCGGAUUUACUGGGUGUAAAGGGAGCGUAGACGGCGCUGCAAGUCCGGAGUGAAAGUCCAUGGCUUAACCAUGGUACUGCUCUGGAAACUGUGGAGCUUGAGUGCGGGAGGGGCAGGCGGAAUUCCUAGUGUAGCGGUGAAAUGCGUAGAUAUUAGGAGGAACACCGGCGGCGAAGGCGGCCUGCUGGACCGUAACUGACGUUGAGGCUCGAAAGCGUGGGGAGCAAACAGG